rnacentral:rRNA from 1 species
UGACCAUGAGUUUAACGGCCGCGGUAUUUUGACCGUGCAAAGGUAGCGCAAUCACUUGUCUUUUAAAUGAAGACCUGUAUGAAUGGCACGACGAGGGCUUAACUGUCUCCUUUUUCCAGUCAAUGAAAUUGAUCUUCCCGUGCAGAAGCGGGAAUAUGAACAUUAGACGAGAAGACCCUAUGGAGCUUUAGACACCAGGACAGUCCAUGUCAAGCACCCCUCAUUUAAAGGACUGAACUAAUUGGGCCCUGUUCUACUGUCUUUGGUUGGGGCGACCACGGGGAAACACAAAACCCCCAUGUGGACCAGGAAUACUUUUCCUACAACUAAGAGCUACAGCUCUAAUUAACAGAACUUCUGACCAGUAAUGAUCCGGCAAUGCUGAUCAACGGACCGAGUUACCCUAGGGAUAACAGCGCAAUCCCCUCUUAGAGCCCAUAUCGACGAGGGGGUUUACGACCUCGAU